UACGUAGGGUGCAAGCGUUAAUCGGAAUUACUGGGCGUAAAGCGUGCGCAGGCGGUUAUAUAAGACAGUUGUGAAAUCCCCGGGCUCAACCUGGGAACUGCAUCUGUGACUGUAUAGCUAGAGUACGGUAGAGGGGAUGGAAUUCCGCGUGUAGCAGUGAAAUGCGUAGAUAUGCGGAGGAACACCGAUGGCGAAGGCAAUCCCCUGGACCUGUACUGACGCUCAUGCACGAAGCGUGGGAGCAAACAGG
rnacentral:rRNA from 1 species